GUAGGUGAACCUGCGGAAGGAUCAUUAACAAAAUCAUGAAGAUUAGUGGUCAAACACUAAUUUUUAACCAAUGUGAAUUGGAUAGUAUUUUACUAUCUUUUUUAAUAACAGUAAUAGAGCUAAGAAAUUAGUAAACUACUACUGUUAUUAUAUUAACGAGUUUUAUUAGAGUCUGAUUAAAAAUAAUUAAAUUAUAAACAACUUUUAACAAUGGAUCUCUUGGCUCUU
rnacentral:misc_RNA from 1 species